rnacentral:rRNA from 1 species
AACGCGAAGAACCUUACCAGCCCUUGACAUGUCCGGGACCGGUCGCAGAGACGCGACCUUCUCUUCGGAGCCCGGAACACAGGUGCUGCAUGGCUGUCGUCAGCUCGUGUCGUGAGAUGUUGGGUUAAGUCCCGCAACGAGCGCAACCCCCGUCCUUAGUUGCUACCAUUUAGUUGAGCACUCUAAGGAGACUGCCGGUGAUAAGCCGCGAGGAAGGUGGGGAUGACGUCAAGUCCUCAUGGCCCUUACGGGCUGGGCUACACACGUGCUACAAUGGCGGUGACAAUGGGACGCUAAGGGGCAACCCUUCGCAAAUCUCAAAAAGCCGUCUCAGUUCGGAUUGGGCUCUGCAACUCGAGCCCAUGAAGUUGGAAUCGCUAGUAAUCGUGGAUCAGCACGCCACGGUGAAUACGUUCCCGGGCCUUGUACACACCGCUACAGU